rnacentral:lncRNA from 1 species
CCAUAGCCAAGUCCGUACGUUGCAGAGGUCCAAAUAUCAUCGUGAAAAACUGUGUCGUACAACACGGCUGCGCAUUUCCACGCGAAGGUACUUAAACGCCGUAUUACUCACUAAGUUUUUCUUAGAGACUGUUCGUUUUGGGAGUGAUUAUUAGCGUCAAGCAGCUCAUCGCGGGUUAGAUUACACCUCCGAAUUAAGCGGAGAAUAUCCAAGAGAUUUAUUCGAAUAUUCAUAUGUGAUGAAGAUGGAGCAAAGGAUGUGCGGCGAUUGAGAAGAGGGUCAGUCAAAUUCUUAUGCAAAUGAUGUAUCCUCCUCCAAUUGUGUAUAGCUAUAACCAGCUGAUGUCCAAGGGGAUCUUGUGCUAGAUUUCUUAAUGCAUCAAAUAUAAACAUUACUAUUGACCUUG